ensembl:lncRNA
AAUAAUAAUAAAAAAGAAAUGUUUCUACAGGAAAAAAAAACUACUCUAAAGAGCAGGAGAUAGUACAUUUGUAUUUAUUCAUUUAGCAGACACUUUUAUCCAAAGCGACUUACAAAUGAGGAAAUACAAGCAAAGCGAUAAAUCAAGGGGAGAACAAUACAAGUAGUGCUACUGUACAAGAUUUUUAAUUGAGUUCUAGAGAAGCAAAGUGUGCAGAGUAGAGGUGUAAAUGCAGAAUGCUUUUUUUUUAAAUAUAUAAAUGGGGGUUAGGGGUUAGUUAAGUGUUCACAGAAGAGGUUGGUCUUUAGCCAUUUUUUGAAGAUAAUGACAGAUUCUGCAGUCUGGAUUGAGGUUUGAAGUAUUUGUUCCACCACUGAGGGACAGUCAGUUUGAAGGUUGUGGAAUGGGACCUCAUGCCUCGCUGACUAGGCACUACCAGACAUUGGUCGUUAACUGAUCACAGGUUACGUGAGGGACCAUAAACCUCGAGGAGAGUGUUGAGGUAGGGCGGUGCUGUUCCAGACAAGGUCUUGUAUAUGAGCAUGAAUUUGAUGCGGGCGGCUACAGGAAGCCUGUGGAGGGAGAUGAAGAGGGAUGUUACAUGGGUUCUUUGGGGCUGGUUGAAAACAAGGUGUGCUGCUGCAUUCUGAAUCAUCUGAAGGGUCGUGAUGGAGCUGGCUGGGAGGCCCGGGAGUAGUGCUUUCCAAUAGUCCAGUUUUGAGAUAACAGGAGACUGGACUAGAAGCUGUAUAGCCUGUUUGGUGAGGUAGGGUCGGAUUUUAUUGAUGGUGUACAGAAUGAACCCACAGGACUGUACAGUUAAUGAGAUGUGGUCUGUAAAAGUCAAGUUAUCAUCGAAAGUCACCCCAAGGUUUAUGGCUGUCCUGAAUGGCUUGAGUGUGGUUGUGCCAAGCUGUACAGUGAGGUUGUGGUUGAUUGAGGGGUAGGCAGGGAUGACAAGAAGCUCCAUUUUUGCCAAGUUGAGCUUAAGAUGGUGUUCCCUCAUUCAGUCCGAGAUGUCAGACAGACAGGCAGAGAUGUGUCUUGAGAUGGAUGGAUCAUCAGGCUGGAAGGACAUAUAGAACUGGGUGUCAUCAGCACAGCAGUGAUAUGAGAAGCCAUGAGAAUCCAUCACAGGCCCCAGAGAUGUUGCUGAGUUUCAUCCACAAUACCAUGAAGGACCUGCCUGAGAGAUAGGAUUCCACCCAGUGCAGAGCAUUCUGGUGAUGCCUAGGCUGGAGAGAGUUAACAGGAGGAUCUGAUGAUUCACCAUGUCAAAGGCAGUAGAGAGGUCGAGUAGGAUGAGGACAGAUCUUGAGGUUGUUCUUGCUAGUCAUAAGGCUUCAGUGGUGGAAAGCAGAGCACUCUCCAUGGAGUGCUGCUGUUGAAGCCAAACUGCUUGGUGUCCAGGAGGUUGUUCUGUAUGAGAAAACGGAGAGUUGAUUAAACACAGCUCUUUCAAGGGUUUUGGGCAGAAAAGGGAGGAGGGAGACAGGUCUGUAGUUGUCAACAGCAACAGGGUUAAGUAUUGGUUUUGUAAGCAGCUGGGUAACCUGGGCCUGCUUAAAUGAGGUAGGGAAUGUGCCUGUGGAGAGGGAUGUGUUAAAGAUGUGUGUGAGUGCAGGUUGUAGGAUGGCUAGAAAGAAGUUUUGAGACAUCAGUCUCUGAGAGAGGGGAAAAGGAGGACAGUUGAGAGUUACAUGGAGGAGGAGCCGGUCUCUGUGUGUCUGAGGUGGAGAACUGGUUCCUGAUUGAUGUAACCUUGUUGGAAUUGAAAGUGUCAAGUCAUCUGCAGUGAGAGAGGUAGGGGGAGGAGGGGAACAGAGAAGAGAGUAUGGGUGUUGGGCGAGCUGCCAAUCUUCUCUAGGUAGUAUAUGACUUUAGCAGUAGAGAUGAUAUGUGAAAAAGAGGACAGAAGUGUUUGGUAAUUGGUUAGGUCAGUUGGACGGUUUGAUUUAUACCAUUUAAUUUCAACUGUCCUUAACUUGGUCUGGUUGUUACGAAGAGCUUCUGAGAGCCAAGGGCUAGGGGGUGACGUGUGAGCUGGCCUGUUUCCUGGGUCCCAUGUUUCCAGCAUCCUAUGUUUCUAGGGUCCUAAGCCUCCAUUGUCAUAUGUUUCCAAAGUUCUGUGUUCCAUGGAUUCUGUAUUUCCAGGGUCCUAUGUUUCCAAGGCCUUUGUUUGCAGGGUCCUAUGUUCCAAGGGUUUCUGUGUUUCCAGGGACCCAUCUUAUUAGGGUUCUACAUUUCCUGCUUCUGGUGUUUCUAGGUCCCUAAGUUUCCAAGGUCAUAUUUUUGAAGGGUCCUGUAUUUCCAGAGUCCUGUGUUUCCAGCAACCUGUUUUUGAAGGGUCCUGUGUUUCCAGGGUCCUAUUUUUUGAGGGGUCCUGUGUUUUCAGGGUCAUUUGUUUUCAAGGUCCUGUGUUUUCUGGGUCCUGUGUUUCCAGGGUCUUGUGUUUCCAAGGUUCUGUGUUUCCAGGGUCCUAUGUUUCCAGGGUCCUGUGUUUCCAAGGUCCUGAGUUUCCAACAUCCUAUUUUUUGAAGGGUCCUGUGUUUCUAGAGUCCUAUUUCUGUGAAGGGUCCUAUGUUUUCAGGAUCAUGUGUUUCCAAGGUUAUUUUUUGAAGGUUCCUGUGUUUCCAGGGUCAUGUGUUUCCAAGGUCCUGUGUUUCUAGGGCCCUCUGUUUCCAAGGUCCAACGUUUUUAGGGUCCUAAAUUUCCAGGGUCUGUUGUUUCUAGCUUUCUAUAUUUCCUGUGUCCUAUGCUUGUAGGGCCCUAUGUUUCCAGGGUGUGUUACACAUACACUUAUACAUAUUCAAAUAUUGUGUUCAAUAAAUAACACCUCAUGUUGUGAUUAUUAAAUCAGCUGUAGUUUCAACUUACAGUUCUUUUAAAGAAAUACUUUGUUGGAAGUUUUGCACAUAUCUUGCACAAUGCAUUAUUAAUUAUUAAACUUGCAGUUAAUUCAUUUUCUAAAGACUACAUUGCCAAAUGUGUAAAGAGUGACUAAUUAUGUGCCACAAUCCAAAAACAAAAUGUGAAUUUGUGGUUAUAUUUUUAAAAGGUUAGCUUUUUUUCUCCCAAAUUCCAGUGUAUAUACAAGAACAUUUGAACAUUUUUGCUGAAUCAUAAGAUGAUCAGAUCUGUUGCUUACAGCUAUUAACAAAAAUACAGUGUAACUAUAUUAUUAAGUACUUGAAUAAAAAUGAUUGCAAGAGUUUUACAUUAAAAACAUAUAUAUUGUAAAGAUUUAAACAAUGUGCAUUCAAAAUACAUCCAGUAGUUUACUGUAAUGGUAUGUGUAAAAUGGUAAAAAUCUAUUUUUGUUGUGUGUCAACCAAAAACAAAAUAAAAUACGCAGCAAUAAAUUCAGAGGUAAACAUAUUUAUAAUGCUAUAUGUGAUCUAUGUGUGUGUAUGUGUUCCUGUGAAAUGUUGUAAGUGACCAUAUAUAAGUCCAUAUAAGUAAUUACAUCUAUUUUAGAUAUGUCUGCAUAUAUAAUGAUAUCUUGUUACUUUAUAUUUGUUAGAAAACAUAAACAUAUAUAGUGUAACAUUUAUUUUUGUUCAUUUAAAUAAUAAAAAAAGAACAUUUGGAGUUUCUAAAUGGUCUUUUUUUUACCUAAUGUCCUGUACUAAGUAUAAAUCAUUUUAAAUAUAUUUUAAUAAUGUUUUAAGGUAACAAGUUAUCAUAACCUACAAUAGAGCUUUAUCAGUUGGGUUACUACAUUUUCCUUUUCAUGGUUAAUGUCAAUCAGUAAAUGUCUAUAAAUGAAAUUAUAAAUGAAUAAAAUGUUCUAUUGUGUGUCUAUUUGAUGUAUUUAAGACGGGUGUGAACAAAGGUAGAAUUUAUUUUAUUUUGUUUACUUAUUAAUUUAUGAUAAAUACAUUAUAGAUGAUCUAAACAUAUGUUUAUAUCUAAACACACAUUGAUAAUUUAUUUAUAAGAUAUUUUUACUCAUGUAUUUAGUAAAUAAAUGUUAAAUUAUUUCUCUGUGUAGUUAUGCAAUAUGUAUGUGCUUGCUUUUGCAUUAAAAAUUAUUUACAAUACAGGUUUUAAAAUAUUUCAAGUAAAUAUAACCAUUCAUUAUGUUUAUUAUGUGACAUAGUCAAUUAUAUAAUAGAUUAUCACCUCGCCUGUUUUAUUUUUAAACAUUGUAUUAAAUGUAAUGUGCAUAAAAUGCCCAGUUCAGUGUGUUAAAAUGUUGCUAGUAUCUGUCUGAUGUUUGACGUGUUCGUGUCAGUGUAGUCAUAGAGUUUAUAUUUAUUUAUGCAAACACUAAGGAGUAAUAAAUAAGUCUAUUUAUUUUGCACCUCCAUAAUUCUGUGUGCCAUGUAUUUUUAUCAAACAAAUUCUAUUUAAUUGCUAAAACAUAAUAAGAAAAGAUUUAUCAUAGAUUCUGUGUUAAAAGAAAAAAAUUGUGUUAUGUAAUAUUGUACAAUAAAGUUGUUUAUGAGAGAUGGCAAAAAUGAGUCUUUUAUUUAAUUAUUUUUACAUUCAUGUUCACACCAUAAAGAUCAUAGUUUCCCCACCCCAGUACCACUGAAACCAAUCAUAUCACAGUCCCCUCACCCUCAGUUCCACUUCAACCAAUCAGAUCAGUCCCCUCACCCUCAGUUCCACUUCAACCAAUCAGAUCA